rnacentral:rRNA from 1 species
UGGGGAAUAUUGGGCAAUGGGCGAAAGCCUGACCCAGCAACGCCGCGUGGAGGAAGAAGGUUUUCGGAUCGUAAACUCCUGUCCUCAGGGAAGAGAAGGAGACGGUACCUGAGGAGGAAGCCCCGGCUAACUACGUGCCAGCAGCCGCGGUAAUACGUAGGGGGCAAGCGUUGUCCGGAAUGAUUGGGCGUAAAGGGCGCGUAGGCGGCUCGGUAAGUCUGGAGUGAAAGUCCUGGCUUCAAGUUGGGAAUUGCUUUGGAUACUGUCGGGCUUGAGUGCAGGAGAGGUUAGUGGAAUUCCCAGUGUAGCGGUGAAAUGCGUAGAGAUUGGGAGGAACACCAGUGGCGAA